CCUACGGGAGGCAGCAGUGGGGAAUCUUCCGCAAUGGGCGAAAGCCUGACGGAGCGACGCCGCGUGAGCGAAGAAGGCCUUCGGGUCGUAAAGCUCGAUAGUGUGGGAAGAAGGAAUGACGGUACCACACGAAAGCCCCGGCUAACCACGUGCCAGCAGCCGCGGUAAU
rnacentral:rRNA from 1 species